GGAGAUGUACCCAAGUGGUUGAAGGGUCUGCACUCGAAAUGCAGUAGGCGUCUAAAAAGCGCGCGGGGGUUCAAAUCCCUCCAUCUCCGCCA
rnacentral:tRNA from 1 species